rfam:Gossypium hirsutum cultivar TM-1 chromosome 10, whole genome shotgun sequence
GGUUAAAAAUUUUAUUUAUUUUUUCUAUUAAAAACUAACAUGACUAAUAGAAUAACCAAAAAGUUACACAUCGUGUGCCAUGUAUACCUUAUUCUAAUGUAUGAAUAUCAACUUUUAUUAGUAGAAAUUGAUGGAAUUUUUAACA